rnacentral:lncRNA from 1 species
CCUUCCUGCCGGAGCUGUCCAGAGAGGGAGACUGAGGACCCAAAGGAGUCCGGGAGAGAAGGUGGGGGUAGUAAUAAAGACACAAGUAGCACCCCCACAGCUCCUUGGUGGGGUGCUGGGUUUUUUAAAAAGGGGGGAGGAGGGGAGGCCGAUGGACCCUGACUUUGCAAUAGAAACAGCACCUGAAUCUACCUCCUCCCUUCCCCACCCCCGAAAGCCCAGUCACUAACUAAUAAAGCUAAGAAAAACCCCUUGAAAA